UGACAUACUACACAUUUACCAGAACAGAAAGUUUAUUUCAACUAAAAGCAUUCUAGCAGGUCACAUUUGUCCUUGAAUCACCUCAUAGUCUCCAAAUGAAAAUGGAAACAUAGCCUCGACCUUGAAGGAAAUGUUGUCAGUGCUAAAAUUAACUAUGUAGCCAAUAAGCUAAAGACGCAAUAAGAACAAGCGAUAGUAGUCAGGUGAAAAUGAAGCACCAAUGUGAAAGGGUGAGCCAGACAAUGUCAGAAAAGAGAAUGAAGACAGACCAGUUUAGAAAACAUCAGCUUUUCCCAGUCUACAGACGCACACAGGGCAAGUUAGCAAGAUAGAAAGUUUGCACCGUAUCAGAAAAAGAUUUGUUUAUCUGAGAAAGUAUCUACUGCAACUCUUCUUCUGAGUACAUCAUAAAAAAGUACAGCUAUUCUCAGAAAGAAAAAAAAAAGGCAUCAUGGAUAGCUCCACAUCAGUGUCGAUUGGGAUAAGUGUGGCAUUUGGGAUUUUGGGAUUGUUCCUGCUGAUUUGUUUGGUGCAGAUCUGCUGCAAGAAAAUCAAAUGCUGCAAGUGCAAAAAGACUUCAGUGAAAGACAAAAUUUUAAAGAAAGUCAGGAUAAAGAAUUUGCCUCCGUUUUCAAUCAGCAGAAUCAUUGAGAAGAAAUAACAGCCAUCACAUAGAUCAAUGCCUGUAAAUAGUGUACAUGCAUCCUGAAAGAAUCUAAUUUAGUCCAUGUUUUCUUUAUUUACAACACUUGUAACUGUAAUUAUUUCCAUGUUAUGAAAGCAUCUGUCAGUUUAUUUAUUAUUUCUGUGAAAAAUGUGAAUCAUGCUUUUGAGGUAAAGGUGUCAGCGAUGGGAUGUGUAUGAUUCAUAACUGAUUGUCACUUUCCCACAGCAAUAGGGAAAAGCAGCACACCUUUGUUUUGAGAUCGCUUCUCUUAGUGUUUUUCUCAUUCUCUUACUCAGAAUGUCUCCAUAUCUUGCUUUUCAGUCUAACCACAAAAACAUAGUGAAGCCUUCUUCUCAAACUGAACCUUUUCCACAUAAAAAUGACUUCAAAGGUCACCGUAUACACUGAUGAAAUACCAGUCUCUUCAGUCAUAGUAGAAAGAUCACAUCAUCCUCAUUGUGUUUUCUAAGCAAGUCUUCUCGGGUGAUAUAUUUUCUGUUAAGCAAUAUUAUGUGUGUGAUAUAAAGUGGAUCUGUACUUGUAUGUCAUCAAAUGUGGUCAUAUAUAUAUAUAUAUCUUCUACGAGGUAAAUAAAUGUAACAAAUCAUGUAAAAA